rnacentral:rRNA from 1 species
AGUGAACGCUUGCGGUAGGCCUAACACAUGCAAGUCGAACGGCAGCACAGGAGAGCUUGCUCUCUGGGUGGCGAGUGGCGGACGGGUGAGGAAUACAUCGGAAUCUCCUUUUUCGUGGGGGAUAACGUAGGGAAACUUACGCUAAUACCGCAUACGACCUACGGGUGAAAGCAGGGGACCUUCGGACCUUGCGCGAAUGAAUGAGCCGAUGUCGGAUUAGCUAGUUGGCGGGGUAAAGGCCCACCAAGGCGACGAUCCGUAGCUGGUCUGAGAGGAUGAUCAGCCACACGGUAACUGAGACACGGUCCAGACUCCUACGGGAGGCAGCAGUGGGGAAUAUUGGACAAUGGGCGAAAGCCUGAUCCAGCCAUACCGCGUGGGUGAAGAAGGCCUUCGGGUUGUAAAGCCCUUUUGUUGGGAAAGAAAUCCAGCUGGCUAAUACCCGGUUGGGAUGACGGUACCCAAAGAAUAAGCACCGGCUAACUUCGUGCCAGCCGCCGCCGUAA